AUACUAGUAGCUUACACUCCAAAGCGCAGUGCUGAAGACACUGAAAUGAGACUUAUUCUCCAAGUAUA
rnacentral:tRNA from 1 species